rnacentral:rRNA from 1 species
UAUUAUUGCCAUAUCAUCCUGCAACCCAGGAUGGUUUACUCACUGAAGCUAAGGAGGGUUAAGCCUGGUCAUUACCUGGAUGGGAGACCACAUGGGAAACUAGUUGCUAAUGA